rnacentral:rRNA from 1 species
GAGGAAUACCGGUGGCGAAGGCGGCCCCCUGGACAAAGACUGACGCUCAGGUGCGAAAGCGUGGGGAGCAAACAGGAUUAGAUACCCUGGUAGUCCACGCCGUAAACGAUGUCUACUUGGAGGUUGUGCCCUUGAGGCGUGGCUUCCGGAGCUAACGCGUUAAGUAGACCGCCUGGGGAGUACGGCCGCAAGGUUAAAACUCAAAUGAAUUGACGGGGGCCCGCACAAGCGGUGGAGCAUGUGGUUUAAUUCGAUGCAACGCGAAGAACC